AUUGAACGCUGGCGGCAUGCCUUACACAUGCAAGUCGAACGGUAACAGGUCUUCGGAUGCUGACGAGUGGCGAACGGGUGAGUAAUACAUCGGAACGUGCCCGAUCGUGGGGGAUAACGCAGCGAAAGCUGUGCUAAUACCGCAUACGAUCUACGGAUGAACGCGGGGGAUCGCAAGACCUCGCGCGGACGGAGCGGCCGAUGGCAGAUUAGGUAGUUGGUGGGAUAAAAGCUUACCAAGCCGACGAUCUGUAGCUGGUCUGAGAGGACGACCAGCCACACUGGGACUGAGACACGGCCCAGACUCCUACGGGAGGCAGCAGUGGGGAAUUUUGGACAAUGGGCGCAAGCCUGAUCCAGCCAUUCCGCGUGAGUGAAGAAGGCC
rnacentral:rRNA from 1 species